rnacentral:rRNA from 1 species
AUUGAACGCUGGCUGCAGGCUUAACACAUGCAAGUCGAGCGAGCGGCGGACGGGUGAGUAAUGUCUGGGAAACUGCCUGAUGGAGGGGGAUAACUACUGGAAACGGUAGCUAAUACCGCAUACCAUCAGAUGUGCCCAGAUGGGAUUAGCAAGUAGGUGGGGUAAUGGCUCACCUAGUCGACGAUCCCUAGCUGGGCUGCGAGGAUGACCAGCCAACCUGGAGCGGAGACAGUGUCCAAACUCCUACGGGAGGAAGCAGUGGGGAAUAUUGCACAAGGGGCGCAAGCCGGAUGCAGCCAUGCCGCGUGUGUGAAGAAGGCCUUCGGGUUGUAAAGCACUUUCAGCGAGGAGGCGUUACUCGCAGAAGAAGAACCGGCUAACUCCGUGCCAGCAGCCGCGGUAAUAC